rnacentral:rRNA from 1 species
UACGAAGGGUGCAAGCGUUACUCGGAAUUACUGGGCGUAAAGCGCGCGUAGGUGGCCAUGUAAGUCCGCUGUGAAAGUCGAAGGCUCAACCUUCGAAAGCCGGUGGAUACUGCAUGGCUAGAGUACGGAAGAGGCGAGUGGAAUUCCUGGUGUAGCGGUGGAAUGCGCAGAUAUCAGGAGGAACACCAAUAGCGAAGGCAGCUCGCUGGGACGUUACUGACACUGAGGCGCGAAAGCGUGGGGGAGCGA